rnacentral:rRNA from 1 species
UAAGGGGAAAGAUUUAUCGCCAUUGGAUGAGCCCGCGUUGGAUUAGCUAGUUGGUGGGGUAAUGGCCUACCAAGGCGACGAUCCAUAGCUGGUCUGAGAGGAUGAUCAGCCACACUGGGACUGAGACACGGCCCAGACUCCUACGGGAGGCAGCAGUGGGGAAUAUUGGACAAUGGGCGCAAGCCUGAUCCAGCCAUGCCGCGUGAGUGAUGAAGGCCUUAGGGUUGUAAAGCUCUUUCAGCGGGGAAGAUAAUGACGGUACCCGCAGAAGAAGCCCAGGCUAACUUCGUGCCAGCAGCCGCGGUAAUACGAAGGGGGCUAGCGUUGUUCGGAAUCACUGGGCGUAAAGCGCGCGUAGGCGGAUUGUUAAGUCGGGGGUGAAAUCCUGAGGCUCAAC